rnacentral:rRNA from 1 species
AAUGGGCGCAAGCCUGAUCUAGCCAUGCCGCGUGAGUGAUGAAGGCCUUAGGGUCGUAAAGCUCUUUCGCCAGGGAUGAUAAUGACAGUACCUGGUAAAGAAACCCCGGCUAACUCCGUGCCAGCAGCCGCGGUAAUACGGAGGGGGUUAGCGUUGUUCGGAGUUACUGGGCGUAAAGCGUACGUAGGCGGAUUAGAAAGUUGGGGGUGAAAUCCCGGGGCUCAACCCCGGAACUGCCUCCAAAACUACUAGUCUAGAGUUCGAGAGAGGUGAGUGGAACUCCGAGUGUAGAGGUGAAAUUCGUAGAUAUUCGGAAGAACACCAGUGGCGAAGGCGGCUCACUGGCUCGAUACUGACGCUGAGGUACGAAAGUGUGGGGAGCAAACAGGAUU